rnacentral:rRNA from 1 species
UACAGAGGCCUCGAGCGUUAGGCGGAAUCACUGGGCUUAAAGCGUGUGUAGGCGGACUUCUAAGUACCUUGUGAAAUCCCACGGCUCACCCGUGGAACUGCUCGGUAUACUGGUCGUCUUGAGCCUUCUAGGGGCUACCGGAACAAAUGGUGGAGCGGUGAAAUGCGUAGAUAUCAUUUGGAACGCCAAUGGUGAAAACAGGUAGCUGGGGAAGUGCUGACGCUGAGACACGAAAGCCAGGGGAGCGAACGGG